rnacentral:rRNA from 1 species
GAUGAACGCUGGCGGCGUGCCUAAUACAUGCAAGUAGAACGCUGAAGGAAGGAGCUUGUUCUUUCCGGAUGAGUGGCGAACGGGUGAGUAACGCGUAGGUAACCUGCCUUGUAGCGGGGGACAACUAUUGGAAACGAUAGCUAAUACCGCAUAACAGUAUAUGUUGCAUGAUAUCUACUUAAAAGAUGCAAUUGCACCACUACCAGAUGGACCUGCGUUGUAUUAGCUAGUUGGUGAGGUAACGGCUCACCAAGGCGACGAUACAUAGCCGACCUGAGAGGGUGAUCGGCCACACUGGGACUGAGACACGGCCCAGACUCCUACGGGAGGCAGCAGUAGGGAAUCUUCGGCAAUGGACGGAAGUCUGACCGAGCAACGCCGCGUGAGUGAAGAAGGUUUUCGGAUCGUAAAGCUCUGUUGGAAGAGAAGAACGAGUGUGAGAGUGGAAAGUUCACACUGUGACGGUAUCUAACCAGAAAGGGACGGCUAACUACGUG